ACAGAGAACCUCUCCUUGAAAGCCUGUCUAGACAAGCUAGAUAGUAGUCCAGAGGUUCUCGGUGCACAGCUCAACACUAACUAUCUAGCUUGUCUAGACGGGCCUUCAAAGAGAGGUUCUCAGU